GAGAAUGUAUGACUAUUUUGGUCAUGGCUUUUAUACACUUUUUUUGUAAUAAAACAUCUAAAAGCCAAAAUCCUUUCAGAUGGGGGACCCUAGGACAAAAUGGGGGUCCGUGGUCUAAUUUGUGUCAGUUUACGGGUCCUUCACGUGAAAAGGUUUAGGAACCACUGGACUUUUUUACACA